GGACUCUUCAGCAAUUGAACUCCUGUAGACAACAGAUGGCAGAUAAUCACUCGAACAGCCUCCAAUUUUGUCAGUAAAAGAAAAGUGAUCGUCCACCUCUCUCCUACAGUAAGUAGCUGAGGAUAUUUCCAUUGAGACCAUUAUAAUAAGAAGACUGAAGGUCUGAGAUCAGAAAGAAGACCGCUUCAAGCAGAGAGAAUACUUGGGUUUCAAGUGACUUGCCAUAAUACCUUCAAGCAACUCUGACAAAACAGCCCAGUAGAACCCUUCAGUGAGGGAAUUGUCCUAGGUUAAGAAAAUCAAACAAAAGGAGACUAAAUAAUUUGCUGAAGAUCAAACAGAAAGUGGAUUCGGAACCCAGGUAAUUUGAUUCCUUUUGAGCUAUCCAAAAGGCCUGCAUAUAAUAAUGA